rnacentral:rRNA from 1 species
CACGUAGGGCGCAAGCGUUGUCCGCAAUUAUUGGGCGUAAAGAGCUCGUAGGUGGUUUGUUACGUCCGCUGUGAAAUCCUAGGGCUUAACCCUGGGCUUGCAGUGGAUACGGGCAGACUAGAGGUAGGUAGGGGAGAAUGGAAUUCCUGGUGUAGCGGUGAAAUGCGCAGAUAUCAGGAGGAACACCGGUGGCGAAGGCGGUUCUCUGGGCCUUACAUGACACUGAGGAGCGAAAGCGUGGGGAGCGAACAGG